AUGAAACACUCCUACGGGAGGCAGCAGUAGGGAAUAUUGCGCAAUGGGGGAAACCCUGACGCAGCAACGCCGCGUGGAGGAUGACACUUUUCGGAGCGUAAACUCCUUUUGUUAGGGAAGAAUAAUGACGGUACCUAACGAAUAAGCACCGGCUAACUCCGUGCCAGCAGCCGCGGUAAUACGGAGGGUGCAAGCGUUACUCGGAAUCACUGGGCGUAAAGGACGCGUAGGCGGAUUAUCAAGUCUCUUGUGAAAUCUAACGGCUCAACCGUUAAACUGCUUGGGAAACUGAUAAUCUAGAGUAAGGGAGAGGCAGAUGGAAUUCUUGGUGUAGGGGUAAAAUCCGUAGAUAUCAAGAAGAAUACCUAUUGCGAAGGCGAUCUGCUGGAACUUAACUGACGCUAAUGCGUGAAAGCGUGGGGAGCAAACAGGAUUAGAUACCCGUGUAGUCCGAAGUUC
rnacentral:rRNA from 1 species